rnacentral:lncRNA from 1 species
UUUAGAUUGCAUUCUCCCAAUCACAUAUUCCUUGGACUUAUUGUUUAAGCAUAUAACAUUUAUAUGAGACGGCUUAAACAAUAAUCUUUGCCCUUGAUAUUAAACUAGAUUAGUUUAACAUGUGAAAUGUCCGUAAAGUAUCAUCAUAUGAUUGGUUUUAGGGAACAUUUCCAACAAUCUCCCACUUGCACUAGAGCCAAUCAGCUUGGUCAUCAGUGAUGAUACCUCUUCUGUAGUCAUUUCAUAAAUGGCUGAAUAGUAGGCCUAGACAAUGGAUAUCUAUAUGUUAUCCAUAGAAGCAACCUUGAGAAUAACGACGUCACCAUUAUACAUGAUUCUCAAUCAUGUGGUUCAGUCUCUCAUUUGAGUUCGGAUCUUGAUGCGACCUUGAUUCCCUGGCUUGAGCUGUCGCCCCAUUAGUGUCGUAGUGUCGAUACACUAGAGACACUUUCUGGUUGGAACCGAAUAGAGAGUUCAUAAAUGAACUUUCCCAUCCAAACAACAUUGUUGUAAGCUUCUAUAUGGCAAUAUAUUUUGCAUUCAUAAUGGAACACACUAAAGUCAUUACUUUUAAUGUUUCCAUCCAAGUAUCUCUUUAGUCAUAAUAAAGAGAUAUCUGAUUAUCUCUUCAUUCAUAAUAAAGAAACAUCCAAUGAUGGAUUAGAUUCAUAAUCUAAUACAUUUACGCUUCCAUUACGUUACUCUAAUUCUUCCUCAUUCUGUGAGGAAUCUAUCCUUUAGUAUUUCUUAAAUACUCAAGGACUCACUUGACAGUUGCCAUUGUUCUGAUCUUGGGCUUGCACUGAUAUCGUCUUGUACCUUUCUAGGUACAACUCAUAUCAAUGUUUUUCAUACAAUAUGAAAUACAUAAAUCACCUUUCUGCGUAUGCAUAAAGGAUUCUAUAUACGCAUUAUUUCUUUGGGAGUCAAAGGGUACGUUCCCUUUGGGAAGGGAAACUUGGUAGUCUCACUAGAGUCGUCCUUCUAAUUGAAGUUUAUCAUCAUAUGAGAAACUUUCUAGCAUCUCUUGUCUAUUAUGAGGGACUGAUAUAAUCGAAUUAUAUCUUGAAAUAUAUCAUUAUAGAUUUCUAUCCCAUGUAUUUAGACUAUAUCUCCCAUAAACAUUCUAUCGUUAUAGAAUGUUUAAAGUCAUAACUUUAACGAAGAAGUAUACUUUUCAUUUCCAAAAUUAAUAUAUCAUAUAUGUGUAUAUAUAUAUAUAUAUAUAUAUAUUUAAAUUUAGGAAUAUGAUUAACUCCCACUGAUCUUUUGUAAACCUAGUAAACAAAAGAUUCAUUCACAUUUUUAUGAGAAAUCAAACGAUUUGAUCUUUCUCUCAUAAGACGCUUAUAGCUCCCACUAGCUUGCUAAGAUCCAUGAUGGAUGGAUCUCUACAACUUACAUGUCUUGUGAUUCAUAGUUUUAGACAUAUAUUAUCAAGACUAUAUUAAUAAUGGUUUCGGAAACCCAUAUUAUGUCCAAACAUUUAAUCACCAUUUAGUUGUAGCUAGCAAUCUUCGAAUUAAUUGAAACCAUGACUACGUCAAAGAUGGUUUCUUCAAAGUCAACCAAUCUCUUUGAUUGUAGUCACCUUAAGCUACCAAUUAGCUAUGAAGGUUUCAUCAUUUCGUGUCAAAUGGUACUUUACCAUUUCCUUGAGUAUAUCUCGUAUAUACACUCAAUGUAGUCAUAAUGAUUUUCAUUCUUAUUUCUUUCGAAUUAAGAGGUGCAACUCUAUGACAUAGUCAUAAAGUUCAAACCAUUCAACUGAGACGGUUUAUAAAUCCUUCUCGACUGCCUUGGAGCUUGUGGUAUAGGAACUAGUGAAGGAAAAAUUUUAUCUUAGCUAAGAACAAGUAAGAACAUUUGAAUACAUAUGCAAACUAUUAACACUUUAAAGUAGGCAUGCAUUCAAAAACAAUUCAUAAAACCCAUGACUUUCAAAGCCUAGUAUACGGUGAACCAAUAAACUCUUUAACAACAUUAAAGAGAAGUAAAGAUUUAGAGUUUCUUUACCCUUGAAGCUCAUCCUUGUUUACACAAGGGAUUCACCCAAGUGGAGGGCCUUCAAGUCACCUACAAGCUCCUUGGAUAUUCCUUGUGAUUUUCCUCCUUUUAGUACUCCUUUGCUUCUUUGAGGAUUUUAGGAUUUGUUCUCCAAAACACCAAAAAUUUGAUGUCUCUAACUCUCCACACCAAGGAUGUAUCUUGUGAAGAUAAUAUGGAUGACUUAGGGAAGAAGAGAUUGCUAGAUGUCCCUCCCCUAAGUGGCCGGCCUCUUUAGAGAAAAAUGAGAGAAAGUGUUUCACCCAAUUUCUUUAAGAAAACCCUAAUGAGAAAUAAAGCUAUAAAGUUCCUUUUAUACUUCAUUUCAAGUGAGUGGCAAACUUGUAAUUAAUCCAAGCUUGCCCAUUCACCCUAAUGGCCGGCCAUAUUAAUGUUAUUGGGCUAAUUGCCGAUUUUGUUUUAGUUGUCAAACAACUUAAACAUAAUGGGCCUUGUGGACCAAAACGCUUUUGAGACCCGAAGCCCAAAACAAACUUAAAAGCCCAAUACGAACCUUUCGUAAAAUUAAUUAACUAAUUAAUUAAUCUUGACCAUUCAUCAAUUAAACCAUUUAAUUGCUUAUCCAUUUCAUUUAAUUUCCUCACAUACAUCCUUACUCGGUGUACGAUCCAUUAGGUUCCAAUUAGCGAGGUAGUGGGCGACUGUUACUCUUAACGAUCGAUUGUGAAUUGAAACCACAUUUCAAUUCUCCCUUAAUGAUUAGUGUUUGCUAAUCAUUUAGGGUUUCCACAAACCAUGAGUGACACCUAGCAGUAUGUCAUGGUUACCCAAGCUAAGUAGAAGUGGUUGGAGAACCUAUCCAGUUACAACUACAAUACAAAACGGUCAUUCUCUAAUACAAUACUCUUAAUCACAUUGUUUGAGUGAUAGUUUGUUUCAUAUCUACUAUCCAAUGUG